GGCGAUGUAGCUCAGAUGGUUAGAGCACACGGCUCAUAUCCGUGGUGUCCGGGGUUCGAUUCCCUGCAUCGCUACCA
rnacentral:tRNA from 3 species